CCUUUUGCGGGUCCCGGGGUCGUAGUGCCGCCGCUUGCGCUUGUCGUCCCGCAGCCCGCGUCGCGGGGAAGGCGCCCGAGAUUUUCGAGCGGAGCCGUACGGAGUGGGGAAGAUGCACAUACAGACAAACGGGCCACAAGAAAUGCACAGAGAAAAACUAUAUGUAAAAUUAAUAAACGACUCGUAUCCAGCCUGCCCCGCGA